GUACAUCCUGAGCCAGGUGGCUCCAAACCGAAGGGGAGAGGUGUGGCAAAAUAAACGAGGUCAUUUUCAUUUAAGAGACAAGGAACCUGAAAUUUAGAAAAGUUUGUCAAUCCCAUCACUAAUAAUGAAGAUCCAUAAUUCAAACGGAAAUCUUGGAGGAUCCAACACAGAUGUGCACUGAUAAGAGCAUCAUGAUUAUCUAUUCUGCCUGUACCAUGAAGAUUUUAACUGGUCAAAGCCCACGCAAGUAUCUGUUUAGUAUUGUGAAUAUCACUCCUGGCUGUAUGACUAAAAAAGAAACAGCUCAAACACACGUCUUUUAAUCUA